GGCUAUCUUACCCAAGCCCAGAUAGUCAUGGGUCCCCCUAGGCCAGUUAAACCUUGGGGUCAAACAUAAUAGUGUUAGGAUUUAGCAAGGAAAGACAUAGUUGGAAAAUUUUCCAUUUUGAGAUCUGGGAAAAGAGGUUGAAGUUGAUAGGUGCCAGGAAUUGGUACCUAGGUGGCCUUGGAUCCUGUUUGUGACCGAACUUGCGACACCAGAUGCAGUAAUGAGAAUUCAGGUGGCCCCUCUGGUCUCUGAAGAAACCUGAUGUUUUGGAAGUUACUCCUGCCCUGACUGCUUUAGGUAGGCCUGGUUCUCCAAGGGACACCUCAUAACACCUUGUCACGAGAUUUCUGCAAAACCCUCUCAGGUAUGAACACGUAUGGAACGUGUCUUCUCCUGCUCAUGGCAUCUGGUCACAAGCUUAGGCCAGUUUUAAAAAAUGACCAUCAUCCCCGUCCUAGCGCUGCUCAGCAGUCUGCCCCACAGAGAGAUAUGAGUCCAUACAGAAUUCCGGCUGCUGGUCCCUGCGGACUUUGACUUCAUCUCCAGUUUCUUGCCACCCUGUGACAUUUAAGAGACAUGUACUAAUUCCAACUUGCUCUUCCUCUGCUGUCUCUGGCACUGUUCUCCCAAAUGCCUGCAGUUUCUGACAGUGUGUCUUGUCCAUCUUUGGUUCCCUUUUGCGUAAUGGGCAGCCUUCCAAGAAUCCUUCAGCAGGUAUGAAAAGGCUGGACCUGACCGUGAGUAUAUGCGGCAGACGCUUCCUGUUCUUGAAAGACUCUAUCCAGUUUCUUAAGGAAUUGUGUUGGUUGAGAUUAGUACGCCCAUCUCCAGCCCAAGAAUUCUCAGUUUAGUAAGCUCACCUGACACUGUGCUGAUUGGAUGCUCUGUCUGAAGCUUCUAUUGUGAACAGUGCAACCUCUCAAAAACUUUAAUGCAGAUCUCAGAGCAGUUCCCACACACUGCUAGGCCGGGAUCA